GACGAACGCUGGCGGCGUGCUUAACACAUGCCAGUCGAACGGGCCCGCCCCUGUUUUUGGGGGUGGGUUGAGUGGCGAACGGGUGAGUAUCACGUGAGUAACCUGCCCCCUGCUCCUGGAUAACUGCUUGAAAGGGCGGCUAAUACGGGGUGUGCCGGCUGGUCCGCAUGGGCCUGGUCGGGAUAGUUUCAUCUUCGGGUGUUUCGGUGGGGGAUGGGCUCGCGGCCUAUCAGCUUGUUGGUGGGGUGAUGGCCCACCAAGGCGGUGACGGGUAGCCGGCCUGAGAGGGUGGGCGGCCACACUGGGACUGAGACACGGCCCAGACUCCGGCGGGAGGCAGCAGUGGGGGGUAUUGCACAAUGGGCGGAAGCCUGAUGCAGCGACGUCGCGUGAGGGAUGGAGGCCUUCGGGUUGUGAACCUCUUUCUCCGGUGGUGAAGGCCCUGUCCGGUGCGGCGGGGUUGACGGUAGCCGGGUAUGAAGCGCCGGCUAACUACGUG
rnacentral:rRNA from 1 species